rnacentral:rRNA from 1 species
AUUGAACGCUGGCGGAAUGCUUUACACAUGCAAGUCGAACGGUAGAGGGGGCAACCCCUCGAGAGUGGCGAACGGGUGAGUAAUAUAUCGGAACGUGCCCAGUCGUGGGGGAUAACGUAGCGAAAGUUACGCUAAUACCGCAUACGAUCUAAGGAUGAAAGCGGGGGAUCGCAAGACCUCGCGCGAUUGGAGCGGCCGAUAUCAGAUUAGGUAGUUGGUGGGGUAAAGGCCCACCAAGCCGACGAUCUGUAGCUGGUCUGAGAGGACGACCAGCCACACUGGGACUGAGACACGGCCCAGACUCCUACGGGAGGCAGCAGUGGGGAAUUUUGGACAAUGGGCGCAAGCCUGAUCCAGCAAUGCCGCGUGCAGGAAGAAGGCCUUCGGGUUGUAAACUGCUUUUGUACGGAGCGAAAAGGCUCUCUCUAAUACAGGGGGCUCAUGACGGUACCGUAAGAAUAAGCACCGGCUAACUACGUGCCAGCCGCCGCCGUAA